GAUGAACGCUAGCUACAGGCUUAACACAUGCAAGUCGAGGGGAAACGAUAUUGGAAGCUUGCUUCCGAUAGGCGUCGACCGGCGCACGGGUGAGUAACGCGUAUCCAACCUGCCCAUCACUUGGGGAUAACCUUGCGAAAGUAAGACUAAUACCCAAUGAUAUCUCUAGAAGACAUCUGAAGGAGAUUAAAGAUUUAUCGGUGAUGGAUGGGGAUGCGUCUGAUUAGCUUGUUGGCGGGGUAACGGCCCACCAAGGCGACGAUCAGUAGGGGUUCUGAGAGGAAGGACCCGCACAUUGGAACUGAGACACGGUCCAAACUCCUACGGGAGGCAGCAGUGAGGAAUAUUGGUCAAUGGACGAGAGUCUGAACCAGCCAAGUAGCGUGCAGGAUGACGGCCCUAUGGGUUGUAAACUGCUUUUAUAAGGGAAUAAAGUGAGAGUCGUGACUCUUUUUGCAUGUACCUUAUGAAUAAGGACCGGCUAAUUCCGUGCCAGCCGCCGCAGUAAGAC
rnacentral:rRNA from 1 species